CCUACGGGAGGCUGCAGUGGGGAAUAUUGGACAAUGGGGGGAACCCUGAUCCAGCCAUGCCGCGUGUGUGAAGAAGGCCCUCGGGUUGUAAAGCACUUUCAGUGAGGAAGAACGCCUGGUGGUUAAUACCCAUCAGGAAAGACAUCACUCACAGAAGAAGCACCGGCUAACUCCGUGCCAACAGCCGCGGUAAUACGGAGGGUGCGAGCGUUAAUCGGAAUUACUGGGCGUAAAGCGCGCGUAGGUGGCUUGAUAAGCCGGUUGUGAAAGCCCCGGGCUCAACCUGGGAACGGCAUCCGGAACUGUCAAGCUAGAGUGCAGGAGAGGAAGGUAGAAUUCCCGGUGUAGCGGUGAAAUGCGUAGAGAUCGGGAGGAAUACCAGUGGCGAAGGCGGCCUUCUGGACUGACACUGACACUGAGGUGCGAAAGCGUGGGUAGCAAACAGGAUUAGAUACCCUGGUAGUC
rnacentral:rRNA from 1 species